GAUGAACGCUGGCGGCGUGCCUAAUACAUGCAAGUCGAGCGGACGGACGAGAAUCGCGCUUCUCUUCUGUUAGCGACGGACGGGUGAGUCAUACGUGGAUAACCUACCUAUGAGACUGGGAUAACGUCGGGGGCGCUGAUCUCAUAUCCGACAAUAUUUUGAACCGCAUGGAUCUACGGAGAAAGCCGUUCUUGCUGUGCCUAAUAGAUAGUACCUGGUUGCAUUAGCUAGUUGGUACGGUAACGGCUUACCAAGGCAACGAUGCAUAGCUGACCUGAGAGGGUGAUCGGCCACACUGGAACUGAGACACGGUCCAGACUCCUACGGGAGGCAGCAGUAGGGAAUAUUCCGCAAUGGGCGAAAGCCUGACCGAGCAACGCCGCGUGAGUGAUGAAGGUCUUCGGAUCGUAAAACUCUGUUAGUAGGGAAGAACAUAUGUGUAUUUAACUGUGCAUGUCUUGACGGUACCUACACAGAAAGCCACGGCUAACUACGUG
rnacentral:rRNA from 1 species